rnacentral:tRNA from 3 species
GCCGUUGUAGCUCAGUUGGUAGAGCACGUCAUUCGUAAUGAUGGGGUCGGGGGUUCGAUUCCUCUCAACGGCA